rnacentral:lncRNA from 10 species
GAAAUUCUGAUUGCCUGGGUCACUCUGUGGCAUAAGUUAGCAGUGGUAGAGACCUGUCCCUACUGUCUGCCUCCACCAGGUAAACCAUGCUCUGCCACCUCAGUGUCCACAGCCAUGAAGCCCUAACCACGCUGUCCUGAGCACCUAGUGCUACCUUCUUCUAGCCCACCUGGAUGCUGAGUGAAGUCUCUGGGGAGGUCUCUGUUCCCAGAAUUUCAUAGUUAAUUGCUGCUGCUGCUUUGAAUAUUCUCUUUUAAAAAGAAAGAAAGAAAGAAAGGAAGGAAGGAAGGAGGAAGGAAAGAAAGAAUUCUUUGGAGGUGAAUGUUUGAACUAAAAAAAAUAUGAGCUUUUAUCUGGGCUUUGAAUAAUGAAUGGAAUUUUACCAGAUGGAAAAAAGAUGAGAAAUACAUUCCAGGCAGUGAGCAUAACAUAUGACAAGGCAUGAAGACAUAAAGACAGUGCUGUGUUUGGGAAGGGUG